rnacentral:lncRNA from 10 species
CGCACCUCAACCUGGAAGGCAUUGCAGUGGGUGCAAGGCAGGACAAGCCCACGGAGCAAGCACUUCGGGUCGGCACUCACCUGCCCAGGAACUGAGAGAUACAAAAAAUUAGCCGGACGUCCUGGCGUGUGCCUGUAAUCCCAGCUACUCAGAAGGCUAAGGCAAGAGAAUCGCUUGAACCUGGGAGGCGGAGGUUGCAGUGAGCCAAGAUAGCGCCAUGGCACUCCAGCUUGGGCAAGAAGAGAAAAACUCCAUCUCCAAAAAAAAAAAAAAGAAAAGAAAAGAAAAAAAAAAGAUCUGCAUCCUUUGAGCUCACACCAAUGGAUGAGAAAG